rnacentral:rRNA from 1 species
AACGAACGCUGGCGGCAUGCCUAACACAUGCAAGUCGAACGAGAUCUUCGGGUCUAGUGGCGCACGGGUGCGUAACGCGUGGAAAUCUGCCCUUUGGUUCGGAAUAACAGUUGGAAACGACUGCUAAUACCGGAUGAUGACGAAAGUCCAAAGAUUUAUCGCCAGAGGAUGAGCCCGCGUAGGAUUAGCUAGUUGGUGUGGUAAAGGCGCACCAAGGCGACGAUCCUUAGCUGGUCUGAGAGGAUGAUCAGCCACACUGGGACUGAGACACGGCCCAGACUCCUACGGGAGGAAGCAGUGGGGAAUAUUGGACAAUGGGCGAAAGCCUAAUCCAGCAAUGCCGCGUGAGUGAUGAAGGCCUUAGGGUUGUAAAGCUCUUUUACCCGGGAUGAUAAUGACAGUACCGGGAGAAUAAGCUCCGGCUAACUCCGUGCCAGCAGCCGCCGUAA